GACGAACGCUGGCGGCGUGCUUAACACAUGCAAGUCGAACGGAAAGGCCCCUUUAGGGGUCCUCGAGUGGCGGACGGGGGCGUAACAGGGAGGUAACCUGCCCUUGACUUCGGGAUAACUUCAGGAAACUGGGGAUAAUACCGGUAAGAAAUCCUUGCUGCAUGGUGGGGGUUGGAAAGAUUCGGCGGUUUUGGAUGGACUCGCGGCUUAUAGGCUUGUUGGUGGGGUAGUGGCUUACCAGGGCUUUGACGGGUAGCCGGCCUGAGGGGGCGACCGGCCGCAUUGGGACUGAGAGGCGGCCCAGACGCCUACGGGAGGCAGCAGUGGGGAAUCCUGCUCAAGGGGCGGAGGCCUGAUGCAGCAACGCCGCGUGCGGGAUGACGGCCUUCGGGUUGUAAACCGCUUUCAGCAGGAUCGCAGCUUGUGGUGACGGUACCUGCAGAAGAAGCACCGGCUAACUACGUG
rnacentral:rRNA from 1 species